GCCCUCCUAGAUCAACGGUAGAUCUCCCCCUUACAAUCUGAUACCCGUAGUGUUACGGAGGUGAUGUGGGUUCGACCCCCACCGAGGGCG